rnacentral:rRNA from 1 species
GAUGAACGCUGGCGGCGUGCCUAAUACAUGCAAGUCGAGCGAACUUUUGGGAGCUUGCUCCCAAAAGUUAGCGGCGGACGGGUGAGUAACACGUGGGUAACCUGCCUGUAAGACUGGGAUAACUUCGGGAAACCGGAGCUAAUACCGGAUAACAUUGAAGACCACAUGCCUUCAAUUAAAAGGUGGCUUUUAGCUACCACUUACAGAUGGACCCGCGGCGCAUUAGCUAGUUGGUGAGGUAACGGCUCACCAAGGCGACGAUGCGUAGCCGACCUGAGAGGGUGAUCGGCCACACUGGGACUGAGACACGGCCCAGACUCCUACGGGAGGCAGCAGUAGGGAAUCUUCCGCAAUGGACGAAAGUCUGACGGAGCAACGCCGCGUGAGCGAAGAAGGCCUUCGGGUCGUAAAGCUCUGUUGUUAGGGAAGAACAAGUAUCGUUCGAAUAGGGCGGUAACUUGACGGUACCUAACCAGAAAGCCACGGCUAACUACGUG